rnacentral:rRNA from 1 species
GAGUUUGAUCGUGGCUCAGAUUGAACGCUGGCGGCAUGCCUUACACAUGCAAGUCGAACGGCAGCACGGGAGCUUGCUCCUGGUGGCGAGUGGCGAACGGGUGAGUAAUGCAUCGGAACGUAUCCUGGAGUGGGGGAUAACGUAGCGAAAGUUACGCUAAUACCGCAUAUUCUGUGAGCAGGAAAGCGGGGGACCUUCGGGCCCCGCGCUCUUGGAGCGGCCGAUGUCGGAUUAGCUAGUUGGUGAGGUAAAGGCUCACCAAGGCGACGAUCCGUAGCAGGUCUGAGAGGAUGAUCUGCCACACUGGAACUGAGACACGGUCCAGACUCCUACGGGAGGCAGCAGUGGGGAAUUUUGGACAAUGGGGGCAACCCUGAUCCAGCCAUGCCGCGUGAGUG